GCUGGGUGUGGUGGUGUGUGCCUGUAGUCCCAGCUACUCCGGAGGCUGAGGCAGGAGGAUCACCUGAGUCUGGGGGGUAAAGGCUGCAGUGAGCUGUGAUCAUGCCACUGCACUCCAGCCUUGACAACAGGGUGAGACCCUGUCUUAU
ensembl:misc_RNA Metazoa_SRP Metazoan signal recognition particle RNA